rnacentral:rRNA from 1 species
AGCGAACGUUAGCGGCGCGCCUAACACAUGCAAGUCGCACGAGAAAGGGAGCAAUCCCCGGUACAGUGGCGCACGGGUGAGUAACACGUAGAUGACCUUCCCUGGAGUGGUGGAUAACCUGCCGAAAGGCGGGCUAAUACAGCAUGGGACCACAUGGUUUUGACCGAGUGGUGAAAGCGGGCCUCUGUUCACAAGCUCGCGCUCUGGGAUGGGUCUGCGUCCCAUCAGCUAGUUGGUGAGGUAAUGGCUCACCAAGGCAUCGACGGGUAGCUGGUCUGAGAGGAUGACUAGCCACACUGGAACUGAGACACGGUCCAGACUCCUACGGGAGGCAGCAGUGGGGAAUCCUGCGCAAUGGGCGAAAGCCUGACGCAGCGACGCCGCGUGCGGGACGAAGGCCUCGG